rnacentral:rRNA from 1 species
AAGACCUUGCGCUUUUGGAGCGGCCGAUGUCUGAUUAGCUAGUUGGUAGGGUAAUGGCCUACCAAAGCUUCGAUCAGUAGCUGGUCUGAGAGGACGACCGGCCACACUGGGACUGAGACACGGCCCAGACUCCUACGGGAGGCAGCAGUGGGGAAUUUUGGACAAUGGGCGCAAGCCUGAUCCAGCCAUGCCGCGUGAGUGAAGAAGGCCUUCGGGUUGUAAAGCUCUUUCAGCCGGGAAGAAAAGGCUACGACGAAUAAUCGUAGCUCAUGACGGUACCGGAAGAAGAAGCACCGGCUAACUACGUGCCAGCAGCCGCGGUAAUACGUAGGGUGCGAGCGUUAAUCGGAAUUACUGGGCGUAAAGGGUGCGCAGGCGGUUUUGUAAGUCAGAUGUGAAAUCCCCGGGCUUAACCUGGGAACU